rnacentral:tRNA from 1 species
GGUUCGUUAGCUCAGUAGGUAGAGCAUUUGACUUUUAAUCAAAGGGUCUUGGGUUCGAAUCCCAAACGAGCCACCA